rnacentral:rRNA from 1 species
AUUUUGGACAAUGGGCGCAAGCCUGAUCCAGCAAUGCCGCGUGAGUGAAGAAGGCCUUCGGGUUGUAAAGCUCUUUUGUCAGGGAAGAAACGGUGGGAGCUAAUAUCUCCUGCUAAUGACGGUACCUGAAGAAUAAGCACCGGCUAACUACGUGCCAGCAGCCGCGGUAAUACGUAGGGUGCAAGCGUUAAUCGGAAUUACUGGGCGUAAAGCGUGCGCAGGCGGUUUUGUAAGUCUGAUGUGAAAUCCCCGGGCUCAACCUGGGAAUUGCAUUGGAGACUGCAAGGCUAGAAUCUGGCAGAGGGGGGUAGAAUUCCACGUGUAGCAGUGAAAUGCGUAGAUAUGUGGAGGAACACCGAUGGCGAAGGCAGCCCCCUGGGUCAAGAUUGACGCUCAUGCACGAAAGCGUGGGGAGCAAACAGGAUUAGAUACCCUGGUAGUCCACGCCCUAAACGAUGUCUACUAGUUGUCGGGUCUUAAUUGACUUGGUAACGCA